rnacentral:lncRNA from 1 species
GCUUGGGGGUAGAAGCUGUUCAGCAGUCUGAUGGCUUGGGGGUAGAAGCUGUUCAGCAGUCUGAUGGCUUGGGGGUAGAAGCUGUUCAGCAGUCUGAUGGCUUGGGGGUAGAAGCUGUUCAGCAGACUGGUGGCUUGGGGGUAGAAGCUGUUCGGGAGCCUUUUGGUCCCACAUUUGGCACUCUGGUACCGUUCGUUGUGCAGUAGCAAAAUAACUGUCUAUAGCUUAGGUGGCUGGAGUCUGACACCGCCUGAUAUAGAGGUCCCAGUGAUGUACUGGGCCAUAUUCACUACCUUCUGUAGAAGAGCCAAGGACUCACAUUAUACUGUAGUCCUCAGAGAGAGAGAGAGAGAGAGAGAGAGAGAGACCUCUUCUGUUCUGUUCUGUUUGGGGGACGAGCUGUGUCAGUCUGCCCGCCUGAUGUUAAAGUGCUUAAGGCAGUAGGUCUAUGACUGCUACAUGUUAGGACGGCAGUAAUGUAGUCUAGACAGUCUUCUGGUAGGUCUAUGACUGCUACAUGUUAGGACGGCAGUAAUGUAGUCUAGACAGUCUUCCGGUAGGUCUAUGACUGCUACAUGCAGUCUUCUGGUAGGUCUAUGACUGCUACAUGUUAGGACAGCAGUAAUGUAGUCUAGACAGUCUUCUGGUAGGUCUAUGACUGCUACAUGUUAGGACGGCAGUAAUGUAGUCCAGACAGUCUUCUGGUAGGUCUAUGACUGCUACAUGUUAGGACAGCAGUAAUGUAGUCCAGACAGUCUUCCGGUAGGUCUAUGACUGCUACAUGUUAGGACAGCAGUAAUGUAGUCCAGACAGUCUUCCGGUAGGCGUGUAAAUUGCUCAUGCGUGUAAAUGACAUGUCGUCACUGUGGUACUGUGUUCUAGUCUAGUUAGAGAGCGUCUUGCUUUGUAAUGUUUUAUAAUGAUCUCCUGCACUAACAUGGCUCCAGGCUGCCCAGUGGAGAGUAACAUGGCUCCAUGCUGCCCAGUGG